rnacentral:rRNA from 1 species
UACGGAGGAUGCAAGCGUUAUCCGGAAUCAUUGGGCGUAAAGCGUUCGUAGGUGGCUUUUCAAGUCUGCUGUCAAAGCAUAAGGCUUAACCUUGUAAAGGCAGUGGAAACUGAAAUGGCUAGAGUGCGGUAGGGGUAGAGGGAAUUCCCAGUGUAGCGGUGAAAUGCGUAGAGAUUGGGAAGAACACCGGUGGCGAAAGCGCUCUACUGGGCCUGCACUGACACUGAGGGACGAAAGCUAGGGGAGCGAAAGGG